rnacentral:rRNA from 1 species
GAUGAACGCUGGCGGCGUGCCUAAUACAUGCAAGUCGAGCGAACAGACGAGGAGCUUGCUCCUCUGACGUUAGCGGCGGACGGGUGAGUAACACGUGGAUAACCUACCUAUAAGACUGGGAUAACUUCGGGAAACCGGAGCUAAUACCGGAUAAUAUAUUGAACCGCAUGGUUCAAUAGUGAAAGACGGUUUUGCUGUCACUUAUAGAUGGAUCCGCGCCGCAUUAGCUAGUUGGUAAGGUAACGGCUUACCAAGGCAACGAUGCGUAGCCGACCUGAGAGGGUGGUCGGCCAGACUGGAACUGAGACACGGUCCAGACUCCUACGGGAGGCAGCAGUAGGGAAUCUUCCGCAAUGGGCGAAAGCCUGACGGUGCAACGCCGCGUGAGUGAUGAAGGUCUUCGGAUCGUAAAACUCUGUUAUUAGGGAAGAACAAAUGUGUAAGUAACUAUGCACGUCUUGACGGUACCUAAUCAGAAAGCCACGGCUAACUACGUG